rnacentral:rRNA from 1 species
AGAGUUUGAUCCUGGCUCAGGACGAACGCUGGCGGCACGCCUAACACAUGCAAGUCGAACGGAGUUAUUAGAGCUUGCUUUAAUAACUUAGUGGCGGACGGGUGAGUAACACGUGAGCAACCUGCCUUUAAGGAAGGGAUAGCUUCUGGAAACGGAUGGUAAUACCUUAUAAUAUAUAUUUAUGGCAUCAUAGAUAUAUCAAAGAUUUAUCGCUUAAAGAUGGGCUCGCGGCUGAUUAGCUAGAUGGUGAGGUAAUGGCUCACCAUGGCGACGAUCAGUAGCCGGACUGAGAGGUUGAACGGCCACAUUGGGACUGAGACACGGCCCAGACUCCUACGGGAGGCAGCAGUGGGGGAUAUUGCACAAUGGGGGAAACCCUGAUGCAGCGAUGCCGCGUGGAGGAAGAAGGUUUUCGGAUUGUAAACUCCUGUCUUUGGGGACGAUAAUGACGGUACCCAAGGAGGAAGCUCCGGCUAACUACGUGCCAGCAGCCGCGGUAAUACGUAGGGAGCAAGCGUUGUCCGGAAUUACUGGGUGUAAAGGGAGCGUAGGCGGGAUGGCAAGUCAGGUGUGAAAACUACGGGCUCAACUCAUAGAUUGCACUUGAAACUGUUGUUCUUGAGUGAAGUAGAGGUAAGCGGAAUUCCUGGUGUAGCGGUGAAAUGCGUAGAUAUCAGGAGGAACACCGGUGGCGAAAGGCGGCUUACUGGGCUUUUACUGACGCUGA